rnacentral:lncRNA from 1 species
CGUAAUUGAUAUCAUUAUCGCAAUAAAUUCCAGAAGUUAUCAUGAUAUAUUUUUAAGCCCAUAUUGUCCAGUCCUAAACGUCACACUAUUCCAACACACUAUUUCCCCAUUUAAUACCGUAAAGCUGCUCUGACACUAUCUGCAUUGUAAAAAGCACUCGACUCACACUGUUCCAAACCGUUAUGAUUCGCAGGUGCUGUCCAUCAUCCUGCACCUCAUCUGUCUGCUGGAGAAAGUGCCGUGCACCGUGGAGCAGGACCACUUCAAGAAAGAGACCAUCUACAAGUUCCUGAAGCUGCAGGCCUGCGGGAAGAACGGCUUCAGUCCGCUGCACCUGGCGGUGGACAGGAACACCACCUGCGUGGGCCGCUACCCCGUCUGCAAGUUCCCCUCCUUCCAGGUGGCUUCUAUCCUGCUGUAGUGCGGCGCAGACGUGAACUGCCGCGACGAGGACGACAACAGCCCUCUGCAUGUGGCUGCGUCCAACAACCACCCCGACAUCAUGAACCUGCUGAUCUCCUGCGGCACGCACUUCGACAGCACCAACUCCCUCAAGCAGACGGCCUGCGACCUGCUGGACCAGAAGGAGCUGGCCAAGAACCUGAUCCAGCCCAUCAACCACACCACGCUGCAGUGUCUGGCGGCGCGCGCCAUCAUCAAACACGGCCUGGCGUACCGCGGGAACAUCCCCGAGCGGCUGGAGGCCUUCGUGCUGCUGCACAGAUAGUGCUUCGCUCGGAGCCCUGCUGCGUUUCUUCAUCGCCUUUGCUUUCUCUAUGCAGAGACGGUCGGAGCGGCUGUAAUAUGGGACUGUUCUGUGUUACUGGAUUGUGCCACGUGUUCAUGCGACUGCCUGUUUUUGGUCAUCUUUUCCUCUCUGUCUCCUGAUCCGAUGGAGGAACGGCCUGCUCGAGGAAACGCGUCUCUGUUGAAUGUUUAAUCUUUGAACCCAAACCAACCUCCCAAUUGUUAUCGCACCGCACGUGCUGGCGUUUCGCGGUUUAAACCAGCGGCCACAUUACCAGCUCUGCUUGAAGUCUGAGUUUGUGAUGAUGAUGAUGAUGAUGAUGGAAUCUUCAGCUCUGUGUAGUUUAAGUUCAGCUUCAGAUACUUUUGUGCGGUUUGAACUCAAGGGCUUUCGAUUCUCUUACAGGCACAAUACACUAGUAAAUAAAACAAAUGUACAGUCAAAGGACUUGCACUUUAUUGCAGUGAAAUUUGAUAUUCAUAUUACGAUAGCAUAAAGCUUGUUGAUGUCCUUAGAACAUAAUUGACAAUAAACCUCUGUUGCACUUGAGUGUUUGUGUUUUUUUUCAGGUGUGAAGGGGA